rnacentral:rRNA from 1 species
AAAACAACAAACUUAAAGGAAUUGACGGGGACCCGCACAAGCGGUGGAUGAUGUGGAUUAAUUCGAUGCAACGCGAAAAACCUUACCUACCCUUGACAUGGCAGGAAUCCCGAAGAGAUUUGGGAGUGCUCGAAAGAGAACCUGCACACAGGUGCUGCAUGGCUGUCGUCAGCUCGUGUCGUGAGAUGUUGGGUUAAGUCCCGCAACGAGCGCAACCCUUGUCAUUAGUUGCUACGCAAGAGCACUCUAAUGAGACUGCCGGUGACAAACCGGAGGAAGGUGGGGAUGACGUCAAGUCCUCAUGGCCCUUAUGGGUAGGGCUUCACACGUCAUACAAUGG